UGGAGAUGGUCUCUCUGCUUGCCAGCAGAAAUUUUUUUCCAUAGACUUUGGUCUAAGAGCAGGAAAGAAGACAUGGUCAGAGUUUGUAUCGCUUUAAAAAGAAAGUUAUUAUAGUCCUGUCUAGGUGUCUUGUCUUUACUGUUUCCACCAGAAAUACUUAUUAGAGAAUAAUUUUCAUUGACUUCAAUAUGAACUGCCAGAGGAGUGGGUAAUGACGAGCUAAUUUAUCACUUCAUUAGACCAACUGGGAUCAAAGAAUCCUUUUCUGGUUUUCUGAGACAUGAAAAAGAGGUUUGUGCCACAUGGAAUCACCUCUACUGCUUUACUAUUGCCAAAUGGGACACAUUCACAAGAAGUCACAUUUGAAGUAAACAACAUCUGGGAGCACUGCAUACAGUAACUGUUCUGGUCACAGGCAGAGUUUCUCUUCUUGGAUGAUAGCUGUCAUGAUCCAGGACCCUUGAGACCCCAUAAACCCUGAAAAGUACUAUUUCUGGAAUACUGUCCAUAGCAUUUGUAUCUUUAAUUACAUGUCACUCUUAGAAGUGUUACUUAUGAGGUUUCAGUUUGGCCUAAACUGAAUAAAACUAAUGGUCCAAAGGAAAAUGAAAAAGGACUAGAUGGAUCUGCUAUAAUACCUGGAUCUGCUAGAGGAACCUAGAGUACUGCCU